rnacentral:rRNA from 1 species
AUUGAACGCUGGCGGGAGGCUUUACACAUGCAAGUCGAACGAGUGGCGGACGGGUGAGUAAUGUCUCGGAACGUGCCCGGUAGAGGGGGAUAACUACUCGAAAGGGUAGCUAAUACCGCAUACUCUCAGAGCUGCCGAUAUGGGAUUAGCUAGUUGGUGGGGUAAAGGCUCACCAAGGCGACGAUCCGUAGCUGGUUUGAGAGGAUGACCAGCCACACUGGAACGUAGACACGGCCCAGACUCCUACGGGAGGCAGCAGUGGGGAAUUUUGGACAAUGGGGGAAACCCUGAUCCAGCCAUGCCGCGUGUAUGAAGAAGGCCCUAGGGUUGUAAAGUACUUUCAGUCGGGAGGCGUUACCGACAGAAGAAGCACCGGCUAACUCCGUGCCAGCAGCCGCGGUAAUUC